AGAGUUUGAUCAUGGCUCAGGAUGAACGCUAGCGGCAGGCUUAACACAUGCAAGUCGAGGGGUAACGAUAUCUUCGGAUAGGCGACGACCGGGGUGAGUAACGCGUAUGCAACCUACCUUUUACAGAGGAAUAGCCCGGAGAAAUUUGGAUUAAUACCUCAUAGUACUUUUAGAUCACAUGGUUUAGUAGUUAAAGAUUUAUCGGUAAAAGAUGGGCAUGCGUGACAUUAGAUUGUUGGCGGGGUAACGGCCCACCAAGUCUGCGAUGUCUAGGGGUUCUGAGAGGAUGAUCCCCCACACUGGUACUGAGACACGGACCAGACUCCUACGGGAGGCAGCAGUGAGGAAUAUUGGUCAAUGGGCGCAAGCCUGAACCAGCCAUCCCGCGUGAAGGAAGACUGCCCUAUGGGUUGUAAACUUCUUUUAUGUACCAAGAAUGUGAGCUACGUGUAGCUUUUUGACGGUAGUACAUGAAUAAGCAUCGGCUAACUCCGUGCCAGCAGCCGCGGUAAUACGGAGGAUGCGAGCGUUAUCCGGAUUCAUUGGGUUUAAAGGGUGUGUAGGCGGCUUAUUAAGUCAGUGGUGAAAUCCUGCGGCUCAACCGUAGAACUGCCAUUGAUACUGAUAAGCUUGAAUAUAGUUGAGGUAGGCGGAAUGAGUAGUGUAGCGGUGAAAUGCUUAGAUAUUACUCAGAACACCGAUUGCGAAGGCAGCUUACUAAACUAUUAUUGACGCUGAUGCACGAAAGCGUGGGGAGCGAACAGGAUUAGAUACCCUGGUAGUCCACGCCGUAAACGAUGUUCACUCGCUGUAUGCAAUACACCGUAUGCGGCCAAGCGAAAGUAUUAAGUGAACCACCUGGGGAGUACGUCGGCAACGGUGAAACUCAAAGGAAUUGACGGGGGCCCGCACAAGCGGAGGAACAUGUGGUUUAAUUCGAUGAUACGCGAGGAACCUUACCUGGGCUUAAAUGUAGAUUGCAUGACGUGGAAACACGGCUUCCCUUCGGGGCUAUUUACAAGGUGCUGCAUGGUUGUCGUCAGCUCGUGCCGUGAGGUGUCGGGUUAAGUCCCAUAACGAGCGCAACCCCUAUCGUUAGUUGCCAUCAGGUCAUGCUGGGGACUCUAGCGAGACUGCCACCGUAAGGUGAGAGGAAGGUGGGGAUGACGUCAAAUCAGCACGGCCCUUAUGUCCAGGGCUACACACGUGUUACAAUGGCAGGUACAAAGGGCAGCUACACCGCGAGGUGAUGCUAAUCUCUAAAGCCUGUCUCAGUUCGGAUCGGAGUCUGCAACUCGACUCCGUGAAGUUGGAUUCGCUAGUAAUCGGAUAUCAGCCAUGAUCCGGUGAAUACGUUCCCGGGCCUUGUACACACCGCCCGUCAAACCAUGGAAGCUGGGGGGACCUGAAGUCUGUCACCGAAAGGAGCGGCCUAGGGUAAAACCGGUAACUGGGGUUAAGUCGUAACAAGGCAGCCCUAA
rnacentral:rRNA from 1 species